UACGUAGGUGGCAAGCGUUGUCCGGAUUUAUUGGGUUUAAAGGGUGCGUAGGCGGUUUUAUAAGUCAGUGGUGAAAUACGGCAGCUCAACUGUCGAGGUGCCAUUGAUACUGUAGAACUUGAGUACAGACGAGGUAGGCGGAAUUGACGGUGUAGCGGUGAAAUGCGUAGAUAUCGUCAAGAACACCGAUAGCGAAGGCAGCUUACUAGGCUGUAACUGACGCUGAGGCACGAAAGUGUGGGGAGCAAACAGG
rnacentral:rRNA from 1 species